UGACAGAGGUUGUUAUACGAAGGCUUCAUAGAAAUGUAUCACUGUGGUUCACUUUUGGUGGAGGCACUAAACU